AUACGGAGGGGGCUAGCGUUGUUCGGAAUUACUGGGCGUAAAGCGCGCGUAGGCGGAUUGGUCAGUUGGGGGUGAAAUCCCGAGGCUUAACCUCGGAACUGCCUUCAAAACUGCCAGUCUUGAGUCCGGGAGAGGUGAGUGGAAUUCCUAGUGUAGAGGUGAAAUUCGUAGAUAUUAGGAAGAACACCAGUGGCGAAGGCGGCUCACUGGCCCGGUACUGACGCUGAGGUGCGAAAGCGUGGGGAGCAAACAGGAUUAGAAACCCCAGUAGUCC
rnacentral:rRNA from 1 species